AUGAAUAAUGAAGGUUUUCUUUACAUGUGAUGAUAAUAAUGGAGUUAUGAUAAUGAAGUGAUGGAUAAUGAAGUUUUUUUCUUUACAGAUGAGGAUGAUGUUGAAGUUUAUGUAUUCAUGCUCUGUAGUUAUUUAAGUAUUUGUUGCAGUUCGUUUUGACAGUAUGUGUUAUAUCGUAUGGUAUAAUGACUGAAGGUUUUGGAAAGGACAGCUAGGGAACACAUUUUAUACACAUUUCACUACCUGUUAAUUCGAAGUUCACUACUUUUCAGCAUAAAAUGCGUUUCUUCUUUCAGUCUAAUAAUCCAUUUUUGUAUAUUUUGCAGGAGAAAUUAUUCAUGAAAUUAAUGUACUAUAAGCAGUUGUUCAUUAAACACAUGUCAUUUAUGAAUGUGAUUACAUAUACUCUACUUGUUUCAUAAUCUUGAUACAGCUGACUCAUGACGAAUGACGUUACACAUCUUCAUUUGCAGCAAUAACUCAAAAGCAAAUAUUGUUAUUAAUUAUCGAUCCCAACGCAAUGCAUUGCUAGCACAAAAAAAUGCUUUGCAACUGGCAAAUGAAUGCCACUGAUUAAUGCAAUAAGAUGAACUAUGAGGUCAAUGUUUACUAUAAUUAGAUUAAUUAUGCCAUUUAUUAACUCAUUUUCAAUGAUGACUUCUGAUGGUUUGUAAUUAGGCAAUGAAUACCAAUGUGCUCUGUAAAUGACUUCUGAUGGUUUGUAAUUAGUCAAUGAGUGCCAAUGUUCUCUGUGUAUGAUUUCUGAUGGUAAUUAGGCAAUGAGUGCCAAUGUUCUCUGUAAAUGACUUCUGAUGGUUUGUAAUUAGUCAAUGAGUGCCAAUGUUCUCUGUAAAUGAUUUCUGAUGGUUUGUAAUUAGGCAAUGAGCGCCAAUGUUCUGUGUAAAUGACUUCUGAUGGUUUGUAAUUAGGCAAUGAGUGCCAAUGUUCUCUGUAAAUGACUUCUGAUGGUUUGUAAUUAGUCAAUGAGUGCCAAUGUUCUCUGUAAAUGACUUCUGAUGGUUUGUAAUUAGGCAAUGAAUGCCAAUGUUCUCUGUAAAUGAUUUCUGAUGGUAAUUAGGCAAUGAGUGCCAAUGUUCUCUGUAAAUGACUUCUGAUGGUUUGUAAUUAGGCAAUGAGUGCCAAUGUUCUCUGUAAAUGACUUCUAAUGGUUUGUAAUUAGGCAAUGAGUGCCAAUGUUCUCUGUAAAGUUACUCAUGAACAUUAUUCUGUAAUACUACAUACAUGGUAGAGAAAUGUUCAAUGACUGAGCAAUGAGUGCCACCCAUUACUAGUGUAAUUCUCAAUGAAGGCUAGUAUGUGACUUAAUGUCCUUCACAUUCUAACCUAAUUACCUGGAAUUACUGCAAUAUCCGUUUGUCCUGUAUAUCCUCAUGAUCAUGGAGCACUAUAUUUGGUUUUUGCACUAAUUCUACGUUGCUGUAACAGACAAGAACAUGGUGUUGACACGACAUGCUGUCCACCACAAUGAGCGAUGAGAUGCUGUUAUGGUCCCACUGUUUGGUGUACCUAAUGUACUACCAAAAGGAUAACAUGGAAUAUUACUACGGCAUUUCAGUGUCUUGGCUACGCUGAUUAAUACUUCAGGGAAAAGAACUUCAGAUUGCCUCACUUGGUGUUGUGCUUCUGUAGAAAGAUAUGGACUUUCAGUGCAGCUGCGUGCAACCUAAAGUGCUACAACCAUUACGCAAUCCUUCCCUUUCCUAUCCUAAUUCUUGUAACAUAUUAAAAAUAAUUUUGUUAUCAUGAUUUGUAUUCAUGGCCUAUACAUUUUGUGAUUUGCUGAUAUGUUCUGAACUACAGUGCAUGUGCACUUUUGUCAUUUUGUUAACGUUUUUUCUACUCAUUGCAUAUACAUUUUUUGUGAUUUGCUGAUAUGUUCUGUACUACUGUGCGUGUGCACUUUUGCCAUUUGUGAAUAUGUUUUGUACUCAUUGUAUAUAUUUUGUCUUUGCCUGAUAUGUUCUGUACUCAGUGCAUGUGCGCUAUAUUUACUUCAUGUUCUACACCUAUAUAUAUCUGUAUAUAUUCUGUAAUUGUAAAGUUAAUUAGUUAAGAAAAAAUUUGUUGCUCAUGGCAAGUCCAAAUGACUCACCAUCGCUGCCAAAUUUUUGCCCCCCCAGUGGAGGGUUAUGAAACGCGUACGUUUCAUAUGUAUUCAUUACCAGCGAUGGCGAGGCAUGACAGAAUCUCUGACCAGAGAGUUAUUUAUCGUGGCUAGUCUGCGCUUGACCGCGCGAGACGACAGUGCUAGUAGCGUGUAGUGAGUCGGCAGGAACGGUAGGACGUAGCGAGUCGGCAUGCGUCCGCGGUGUGCUCUGCCCACGAGUCUGGUCAGGAAUGUGGUGGACGAUAUGUAUAUUAUUGUAGAAGUCUCCAACCACAGAAGAAGAGAUAGUGAGAGGUGCAGCGACAAGCAGUAGCAGAGCAUUACGUGGGUGGACCCUCGCUGAAAUUGCUGGAGAGGCCUGUCAUGCUUGCAAAGCUACAACUGGAGCAAGAUCUGGAGGUGUUCCAUACGUCACAAUAGCCACAACAGUCUGCAGCACAACAUGACACAGAGGUGUUCCGCAGAACACAGCAGCUGCAGCAGUAGUUGUGUUUAGCAGUCUGGAGGGAUAUUGUUUUUUAUUUACAACAAGCUCCAGUACAUUAUUUGUAAUACUACAUGUAUGUAUUUUGUGUGUGUGUGUGUGUGUGUGUGUGUGUGUGUUGGAUGAUGAUGUGUGAUGGUGAUGAGAGGAGCGAGAGGGUGAAACACGGUGCCAGUACAUAGCCUAGUCGUCGUGAAGAGCACCAAGGGAACCACCCAGCAUAACGUCCCCAUUCGACAGAAGGAUUGCCAUCAACAGUGUCACAUACCCUCAGUUCUUACGACACUGCAGGGAUUUGGUAUUUAAACAAGGACAACUACGCAAAGCUUGGUGAUCAGGAACUUUACGCCACCAUCUUUCCUAUCCCUGCCGGCCAAAUACUGGCAGUGAAAACUUUUUUCCAACCACCAGGAUUCGAGCUGGUUUACCCCCAGGUCGCGCGCGACCUCGACCAUGGAGGCGGAUGGUGGAAUAUUGAUCUCCAUAGAGGAGGUGGUUGUACAGCUGUCACUAUGUUAAUAAAUGUGUCUUAAUUUUUUUUAUUUUCAACCCAAUUAAUUAAUAACAACACACAUACCUGUAGUUGGGAUGCCAACAGUUGAACUGUCUCUAAGUGUGGAAGGGUCUUCCUGAUGAUGGUAGUACAACAGGUUAAAAUGUAGGGUGAUAUAACAAUAAUAACAAAAACUUUGGAUGUCGCGCCAAGGCGUUAUCGAGCAGGAGCCGUGUGUGUGAAUGUGUAGCCUGGAUUUUUCAUUCUGAGGCACUGGAGCUCUUGCUGGGCGCUGGACAGUAAUUUGGUACGAUAUAUAGUACUCAGCAUGUUUCAUGCUUCCAUAUAAUAGAAGCGGCUGCGAUGUGAAGCACAAAAUCAACACGCUGCUUCACAGCACACAUGCACAAGUUGUCUAGAAUACUUUCCUGUCUUUUUUAUUUUAUUUAUUUAAAAAGACCUUGAAAUAUGUAACAGCAAUGUAAUUGCAUAGUUCCCUAUAAAAAUGUUUAGAAAUUCAUGCAUAUAACAGACAUCUUUUGUGAUGUAUAAAUGGGUAAUUAGCUCCAUAGUAUCUACAAUACGCCAUUGUCGUGAAUUAAUGACCGUAUUCGAAAAUGCUUCAGUGGUCUUGUAAUAUACGUAAGUUUACAACGGGUAUGAUCACUCUGCAUUAAGUACCGAAGGCCUUAUUCAUUUUGAUGAUAAUGAACUGGCAGUCAAUGUAUUCGUAUUUUUUUAAGUCGCUAAUAGUGAUAGAUAAAUAGUUCACCCACUUGUGAGAGAACCGUCAAAGGGUAAACAUGUUGAGACGUGCACCAACACUCAAGCCAAGAGGUACUGACGGCGAUGAAUAAGAGUGUAGAAGAAAAAACAAAUAUGCUUAACUAACAGUUCUUUUCAUUUUUUCCUUGCGGGCUAGUUGAGGUCAUUGCAGCAAUAGCUAGCUGACGUGGAAAUAAUGCUGUUCGAACUAACCUACUAUUUUAACACCAGUCGCAGUAAGUGGGUCAGUGUCGGUAUGACACUGAAUUGGGUUCAA